rnacentral:lncRNA from 1 species
CCAUACUGUAACAAGAGAGCACUGGGAGAAGAGCCAAUGAAAUGUAUGGAGUGGACGAUAUGUUGAAUGAGGGGACUGGAGGAACAAGUAUCACCUUGCGGUUCGGGAGAGUUAGAGGCUAAUGGCAGGCUUGUGGACGACUGCGGGAAGGACACGUGGAUUUCCAAAGAACUGGAAAGCCUGGGCUUGGCAGCUCUACUUGGCAUUGAACCCAAGAGCAGAGAAGAAGGAGAUUACGCAAUGGUUGUAAGCCUAAGAUACUAUGCUUACUGCCAGAGCUAAUAAUGCUAAGCAAGAUAACUCUCAAGUUGGGAAAGCAAC